AACAGCCUAAAAUACUUACAUUGAUAUCGACCCGAUAUAUAAGGUGUAUGGGGCAUGAGCAACACACACAAAAAGAUCGUUAAGCAAAUCAGUGAGACGUCCUCUUCUCUACAAAGGUCCACUUGUCAAGCUGUCAUCCCUGCAUAAAGUGUGAGUCUUUUUAAUGCAUUCUGUAUGUAUAAUGCGUGGAGUAGACCGUUUGAAUGUAUCAAGAAAAAAAUGGGGCACGCUGUUAUUACCACAAAUAUGUUUAUUGGGGAAUUAAAGAUUAGUUUAUGGGAAAAGAAGUGUAGAGUGAUUAGAGUAAUCACCAAGGCCACAGCACUGCACAUGUUCGUUUACUGUCGGGUGAAGCACUGUCAAAGUGGGUGUGUGUGUGUUUCUUAAUCUAUCUAUGCUCACGAGGAAUCUACCUUUUCUUUUUUAUUUUACAUUUUGGGGCCCUAAUGCUACUUUUAAUUGUUUUAUUGAAUAAAGUCCAGAUCAUGAAGAUAAUUAUGAUUUUAAGACAAUUUAUUCUCAUGCCGGAUUGAAAGUUAAGCUUCGAUGUAGACAUUAGAAUGAUGGGCUGGCAUUUAAAUAUAUGUAGCAGUUAUUUGUAAUGACAGUAUUGCUCCCAAUUGUAGUAAUUUUUGCUUUGCACUUUUGUAUAGCCUUUUAU
rnacentral:lncRNA from 1 species